rnacentral:rRNA from 1 species
GAAAGUAAGCAAGGGCGCAUGGCGGAUGCCUUGGCUCUCGGAGGCGAUGAAGGACGUGAUAAGCUGCGAUAAGCUUCGGGUAGGUGCAAAUAACCUUUGAUCCGAAGAUUUCCGAAUGGGACAACCCGUCAUUCUGAAGGAAUGACAUCUUGCAUAGCAAGAGGCUAACGCAGGGAACUGAAACAUCUUAGUACCUGUAGGAAAAGAAAAUAAUAAUGAUUCCCCUAGUAGUGGCGAGCGAACGGGGAUUAGCCCAAACCAAUGUUGUUACGGCAAUAUUGGGGUUGUAGGACCACGAUGUCGCAAGAAAUUUAGUGAGAAGAACCCUUUGGAAAAUGGGACCAUAGACGGUGAUAGUCCGGUAUUCGAAGCUAAAUGAAGCGUAGUGGUAUCCUGAGUAGCGCGGGACACGAGGAAUCUUGCGUGAAUCUGCCGGGACCAUCCGGUAAGGCUAAAUACUCCCGAGAGACCGAUAGCGAACCAGUACUGUGAAGGAAAGGUGAAAAGCACUUCGAAUAGAAGAGUGAAAUAGUCCCUGAAACCGUGCGCCUACAAGCGGUCGGAGCUGCUUCAGCAGUGACGGCGUGCCUUUUGCAUAAUGAACCUACGAGUUACUUUUUCCGGCAAGGUUAAGGAUCUUGAGAUCCGCAGCCGAAGCGAAAGCGAGUCUUAACAGGGCGAUUAGUCGGAAGGAGUAGACGCGAAACCAAGUGAUCUACCCUUGGUCAGGUUGAAGGUUAGGUAACACUAACUGGAGGACCGAACCGAUAAGCGUUGAAAAGCUUCCGGAUGAACUGAGGGUGGGGGUGAAAGGCUAAUCAAACUUGGAGAUAGCUCGUACUCCCCGAAAUGCAUUUAGGUGCAGCCUUGGGAAUUACUACUGUGAGGUAGAGCGACUGAUAAGAUGCGAGGGCUUCACCGCCUAUCAAGUCUUGAUAAACUCCGAAUGCGCAGUAGUUCGAUCCCAGGAGUGAGGGCAUGGGUGCUAAGGUCCAUGUCCUAAAGGAGAAGAAUCCAGACCAUCAGCUAAGGUCCCGAAAUAAUUGCUAAGUUGAACUAACGAAGUCAGAUUGCUAAGACAGCUAGGAUGUUGGCUUGGAAGCAGCCAUUCAUUUAAAGAGUGCGUAACAGCUCACUAGUCGAGGAGUUUGGCGUGGAUAAUAAUCGGGCAUUAAGCAAUUUACCGAAGCUAUGGGAUCAGUAAUGAUCGGUAGGGGAGCAUUCCACUCUGCGUCGAAGGUGAAGCGUGAGCUUUGCUGGAGCGUGUGGAAAAGCAAAUGUAGGUAUAAGUAACGAUAAAGGGGGUGAGAAACCCCCUCGCCGAAAGACUAAGGUUUCCUGAUCAACGCUAAUCGGAUCAGGGUUAGUCGGGUCCUAAGGCUCAGCCGAACGGUGAGGCCGAUGGCAGAACAGGUUAAUAUUCCUGUACUACCUUAAAGAGUGACGUGGAGACGGAGGAGUGACAGCGCCGCGGACUGACGGAAUAGUCCGUUGAAGGGUGUAGAUGUUGAUUAUCCCAGGCAAAUCCAGGAUAAGAGUCGAACCUGAUAGUAUACCAAAUUCUUCGGAAUAAGGUAAUAGUGCGUGUAAGCAUACUCCCAAGAAAAUCCGCUAAACUUAAUCUUUAAGGUACCCGUACCGCAAACGGACACACGUAGUCGGGUUGAAUAUACUAAGGCGCUUGAGUGAUUCACGGUUAAGGAACUAGGCAAAUUGACCCUGUAACUUCGGGAUAAAGGGUCCCAACGAGAGUUGGGCGCAGAGAAUAGGUCCAGGCAACUGUUUAACAAAAACACAGGGCUGUGCCAAAUUGAAAGAUUACGUAUACAGCCUGACACCUGCCCGGUGCUGGAAGGUUAAGAGGAGAUGUCAUCGCAAGAGAAGCAUUGAAUUGAAGCCCCAGUAAACGGCGGCCGUAACUAUAACGGUCCUAAGGUAGCGAAAUUCCUUGUCGGGUAAGUUCCGACCUGCACGAAUGGUGUAAUGAUCUGGACACUGUCUCA